GGCGGCUCAGUUGUAGAGUGCUUGCCUUGCAUGCAUGAGGCCCUGGGUUCGAUUCCCCAGCACCA
rnacentral:tRNA from 1 species